CCUACGGGAGGCAGCAGUGAGGAAUAUUGGUCAAUGGACGAGAGUCUGAACCAGCCAAGUAGCGUGAAGGAUGACUGCCCUAUGGGUUGUAAACUUCUUUUAUAUGGGAAUAAAAUGUUCCACGUGUGGGCUUUUGUAUGUACCAUAUGAAUAAGGAUCGGCUAACUCCGUGCCAGCAGCCGCGGUAAUACGGAGGAUCCGAGCGUUAUCCGGAUUUAUUGGGUUUAAAGGGAGCGUAGGUGGAUUGUUAAGUCAGUUGUGAAAGUUUGCGGCUCAACCGUAAAAUUGCAGUUGAAACUGGCAGUCUUGAGUACAGUAGAGGUAGGCGGAAUUCGUGGUGUAGCGGUGAAAUGCUUAGAUAUCACGAAGAACUCCGAUUGCGAAGGCAGCUCACUGGACUGCCACUGACACUGAGGCUCGAAAGUGUGGGUAUCAAACAGGAUUAGAUACCCUAGUAGUC
rnacentral:rRNA from 1 species